rnacentral:rRNA from 1 species
UACGUAGGGACCAAGCGUUGUUCGGAUUUACUGGGCGUAAAGGGCGCGUAGGCGGCUCUGUAAGUCACUUGUGAAAUCUCUGAGCUUAACUCAGAACGGCCAAGUGAUACUGCAGUGCUAGAGUGUAGAAGGGGCAAUCGGAAUUCUUGGUGUAGCGGUGAAAUGCGUAGAUAUCAAGAGGAACACCUGAGGUGAAGACGGGUUGCUGGUCUAACACUGACGCUGAGGCGCGAAAGCCAGGGGAGCAAACGGG